rnacentral:rRNA from 1 species
AGUGAACGCUGGCGGUAGGCCUAACACAUGCAAGUCGAACGGCAGCACAGUAAGAGCUUGCUCUUACGGGUGGCGAGUGGCGGACGGGUGAGGAAUACAUCGGAAUCUACUUUUUCGUGGGGGAUAACGUAGGGAAACUUACGCUAAUACCGCAUACGACCUACGGGUGAAAGCAGGGGAUCUUCGGACCUUGCGCGAUUGAAUGAGCCGAUGUCGGAUUAGCUAGUUGGCGGGGUAAAGGCCCACCAAGGCGACGAUCCGUAGCUGGUCUGAGAGGAUGAUCAGCCACAGGGGAACUGAGACACGCCCCAGACUCAUAGGGGAGGCAGGAGGGGGGAAUAUUGGACAAUGGGCGCAAGCCUGAUCCAGCCAUACCGCGAGGGUGAAGAAGGCCUGCGGGUUGUAAAGCCCUUUUGUUGGGAAAGAAAAGCAGCAGGUUAAUACCCCGCUGUUCUGACGGUACCCAAAGAAUAAGCACCGGCGAAUUUCGG